GAACGCCCCGCAAGGGGAGUGGCGCACGGGUGAGUAACGCGUGGAUAUCUGCCUUUUGGUUCGGAAUAACCCCAGGAAACUGGGGCUAAUACCGAAUGGUUCCUACGGGUAUAAAGAUUUAUCGCCAAAAGAUGAGUCCGCGUCCGAUUAGCUAGUUGGUGAGGUAACGGCUCACCAAGGCAACGAUCGGUAGCUGGUCUGAGAGGACGAUCAGCCACACUGGGACUGAGACACGGCCCAGACUCCUACGGGAGGCAGCAGUGGGGAAUAUUGGACAAUGGGGGCAACCCUGAUCCAGCCAUGCCGCGUGAGUGAUGAAGGCCCUAGGGUUGUAAAGCUCUUUUGUGCGGGAAGAUAAUGACGGUACCGCAAGAAUAAGCCCCGGCUAACUUCGUG
rnacentral:rRNA from 1 species